GAUGAACGCUAGCGGCAGGCUUAAUACAUGCAAGUCGUGGGGCAGCAUGAAUGUAGCAAUACAUUUGAUGGCGACCGGCAAACGGGUGCGGAACACGUACACAACCUUCCUAUAAGUGGGGAAUAGCCCAGAGAAAUUUGGAUUAAUACCCCGUAACAUAAUGAUGUGGCAUCACAUUAUUAUUAUAGCUACGGCGCUUAUUGAUGGGUGUGCGGCUGAUUAGAUAGUUGGCGGGGUAACGGCCAACCAAGUCUACGAUCGGUAGCUGAUGUGUGAGAAUGAGUAGCCACACGGGAACGGCGACACGGGCCCGAGUCCUACGGGAGGCAGCAGUAAGGAAUAUUGGGCAAUGGACGAAAGUCUGAACCAGCCAUGCCGCGUGAAGAAUUAAGGUCCUCUGGAUUGUAAACUUCUUUUAUCUGGGACGAAAAAAGGCGGUUCUUCGUCACUUGACGGUACCAGAUGAAUAAGCACCGGCUAACUCCGUGCCAGCAGCCGCAGUAACAC
rnacentral:rRNA from 1 species